CGAGAAGGGAUCACGAUGUCGUACCUGUUGCCGCACUUGCACUCAGGGUGGGCCGUCGAUCAGGCUAUUCUUGCAGAAGAAGAGCGGGUUGUGAUCAUCCGAUUCGGCCAUGACUGGGACGAUACAUGCAUGCUGAUGGAUGAAGUCCUAGCAUCAGUUGCUGAGCGGAUAAAGAACUUUGCUGUCAUUUAUCUAGUGGACAUUACAGUGGUACCUGAUUUUAACACUAUGUAUGAGUUGUAUGAUCCAUCCACGGUCAUGUUCUUCUUCAGGAACAAGCACAUUAUGAUUGAUCUUGGAACUGGAAACAACAACAAGAUUAAUUGGGCUCUGAAGGAUAAGCAAGAGUUCAUUGACAUAGUUGAAACUGUUUACCGUGGGGCAAGGAAGGGCCGUGGUUUAGUCAUUGCUCCAAAAGAUUACUCUACCAAGUAUCGUUAUUAAUGCUUGUGGCAAG
rnacentral:misc_RNA from 1 species